UACGUAUGGUGCGAGCGUUGUCCGGAAUUAUUGGGCGUAAAGAGCUUGUAGGUGGUUUGUCGCGUCUGCUGUGAAAAUCCGAGGCUCAACCUCGGACUUGCAGUGGGUACGGGCAGACUAGAGUGUGGUAGGGGAGACUGGAAUUCCUGGUGUAGCGGUGGAAUGCGCAGAUAUCAGGAGGAACACCGAUGGCGAAGGCAGGUCUCUGGGCCACUACUGACGCUGAGAAGCGAAAGCAUGGGGAGCGAACAGG
rnacentral:rRNA from 1 species